rnacentral:rRNA from 1 species
UACGAAGGGGGCUAGCGUUGCUCGGAAUCACUGGGCGUAAAGGGCGCGUAGGCGGCCGAUCAAGUCGGGGGUGAAAGCCUGUGGCUCAACCACAGAAUUGCCUUCGAUACUGCUUGGCUUGAGACCGGAAGAGGUUAGUGGAACUGCGAGUGUAGAGGUGAAAUUCGUAGAUAUUCGCAAGAACACCAGUGGCGAAGGCGGCUGACUGGUCCGGUUCUGACGCUGAGGCGCGAAAGCGUGGGGAGCAAACAGG